rnacentral:misc_RNA from 1 species
UGUUUGGUUUGUUACGUGUGGUUGGCUGCGGCGUUUGCAACAACUUCCAUGCUUUCAGACCUCUUCAGUUGUGCGGCAAGGCUUGUAUCGCUUUGAGCGUAUUGUGGGUUUUCUGUGUUGGCUACCUAAUCAACGGUAUCGUUUGGAUUGAUCAAAGUUUGAUUUCGUCUUCCGUCGCGUUUGCGGCGUGAGGUGAACCUUGAUGCGGUCUCUUUGAUCCAUCUCGUCGAAGCACAUGCUUUGACGUUGUGGCACAUUGAGCAUUGCUUGGUGUCUUGUAUACGGAACACGUAGUGGGCAUGGAUCUAACGAUUCUUGUUUGCCCUCAUAUUAGCGUAACGCUUCUCUAACACGACUUGCACCACGUUUUAGCUCGUACGGACGUGGUGCUAUGUCGCAGAGGAAUGCUACCUGGUUGAUCCUGCCAGAGUCAAUCU